GGCGGCAUAGCCAAGUGGUAAGGCAGAGGACUGCAAAUCCUUUAUCCCCAGUUCGAGUCUGGGUGCCGCCUCCA
rnacentral:tRNA from 3 species